rnacentral:misc_RNA from 1 species
GAUGAAGAACGUAGCGAAAUGCGAUAAGUAAUGCGAAUUGCAGAAUUUCCGUGAGUCAUCGAAUCUUUGAACGCACAUUGCGCCCAUUGGCAUUCCGAUGGGCAUGCCUGUUCGAGCGUCAUUAUCCUCCCUCAAACCCCUGGGUUUGGUGUUGGACUGUGUGGUGCCUGGCACCACUGGUCUCAAAGACAAUGACGGCGUCCGUGGGACCCUCGGUGCAACGAGCUUUUCGAAGCACGCGUCGAGUGGACAGUCUCUCCGGGCCGGUCACCUCUCCAACUUUUCUCAGGUUGACCUCGGAUCAGGUAGGAAUACCCGCUGAACUUAAGCAUAUCAAUAAGCGGAGGA